UACGUAGGGGGCGGAGCGUUGUCCGGAAUUCAUUGGGGUACGGUAAAGAGCGUGUAGGCGGCUUGGCAAGUCUGACGUGAAAGCCCCCGGGCUCAACCUGGGAAUUGCGAUGGAGACUGCAAGGCUUGAAUCUGGCAGAGGGGGUAGAAUUCCGACGUGUAGCAGUGAAAUGCGUAGAUAUCGAGAGGAACACCUGCGGCGAAGGCGGGAUGCUGGGCUGAUACUGACGCUGAGGCGCGAAAGCUAGGGGAGCGAACGGG
rnacentral:rRNA from 1 species